AUGGAGAGUUUUCAUGACUACAAGAUGGUGAAUAACCGUUCUGUGGUUGAACAAGCUCAUGAGAUACAGUGCAUUGUGAAGGAACUUGAACUCCUUAAGUGUGUUCUACCCGACAAAUUCGUGGCUGGGUGCAUGAUUGCAAAGUUGCCUCCUUCAUGGAGGAAUUUCGCCACAACUCUGAAGCAUAAGAGACAGGAGAUAUCAGUUGAAAAUCUGAUUGCAUCUCUUGAUGUUGAGGAAAAAGCUCGGGCUAAAGAUACUACUGAAAAAGGAGUAUUUCAAUCAUCUUCGUGGUGGAUUGAUUCGGGUGCUAACGUUCAUGUGUGUGCUGACAUCUCCCUGUUUACUUCUUAUCAGGUCGCAAGGGAUUCUUCCGUCCUAAUGGGGAAUGGGUCACAUGCUUCUGUUCGUGGCAUUGGCACGGUGGAUCUAAAGUUUACUUCGGGAAAGAUCGUGCAACUAAGGAACGUGCAGCAUGUCCCUACUAUGAACAAGAAUCUAGUUAGCGGCUCCCUUCUAUGUCGAGAUGGAUUUAAGGUAGUUUUAGAGUCCAAUAAAGUAAUCGUGUCAAGAUUUGGACAAUUUAUAGGAAAAGGCUAUGAAUGCGGAGGCUUGUUCCGCUUUUCCCUUUCAGAUUUUUGCAAUAAGUCAAUAAACCAAAUUUGUGCUAGUGUUAAUGAUGAUGCAAGUAUUUGGCACUCUCGUUUAUGUCAUAUUAAUUUUGGUUUAAUGUCUCGGCUAUCCAGCAUGAGUUUCGGACUUCACAGUUGCCAAAGGUUCUAA
rnacentral:rRNA from 1 species